UACGUAGGGUGCAAGCGUUGUCCGGAAUUAUUGGGCGUAAAGAGCUCGUAGGUGGCCUGUCGCGUCGGCUGUGAAAACUCGGGGCUCAACUCCGAGCUUGCAGUCGAUACGGGCAGGCUAGAGUUCGGCAGGGGAGACUGGAAUUCCUGGUGUAGCGGUGGAAUGCGCAGAUAUCAGGAGGAACACCGGUGGCGAAGGCGGGUCUCUGGGCAGUAACUGACGCUGAGGAGCGAAAGCGUGGGGAGCGAACAGG
rnacentral:rRNA from 1 species